UACGGAGGGUGCGAGCGUUAAUCGGAAUUACUGGGCGUAAAGCGUGCGUAGGCGGCCUGCCAAGCCAGGUGUGAAAGCCCCGGGCUCAACCUGGGAACGGCACUUGGAACUGGCAAGCUAGAGUUGGGUAGAGGGGAGUGGAAUUUCAGGUGUAGCGGUGAAAUGCGUAGAUAUCUGAAGGAACACCAGUGGCGAAGGCGGCUCCCUGGACCCAAACUGACGCUGAGGUACGAAAGCGUGGGUAGCAAACAGG
rnacentral:rRNA from 1 species